GACGAACGCUGGCGGCGUGCUUAACACAUGCAAGUCGAACGAAGUGGCCAACGGGUUAGUAAGACGUCGGUCACCUCCCCUCCUUUUUGGGAUAAGCCUUGGAAACUGGUUCUACUACCUAAUAAUGUGGGCUGGGCGCGCGGGCUGUGAGCUUGUUGGUGGGGAGAUGGCCUAGCAAGGCGGGGACGGGUAGCCGGCCUGAGAGGGUGACCGGCCAUGUUAGGGCGGCGAUACGGCCACGAGAGCUACGGGAGGCGGCAGUGGGGGAUAGUGCGCAAUGGGGGAGAGGCUAAUGCAGCGACGCCGUGUGGGGGAUGAGGGCGUACGGGUUGUAAACCUGUUACGCUAGGCAACGGGUAGGUGGAGAAGAAGCGCCGGCUAACUACGUGCCAGCAGCCGCGGUAAUAC
rnacentral:rRNA from 1 species